rnacentral:tRNA from 1 species
UGGUACUUAGUUUAAGAUAAAAUAAGUGAUUUCAACUCACUAGACUGUGAUUUAAACUCACAAGUACCAA